rnacentral:lncRNA from 1 species
GAAAAGAGCGAGUUAAACAUGUUACGGUGAUAGGCCACCAAAAAAUACGUUCUAUAUACUUGUUAUGGUAUAUAGAGAUCCCCACAAAAAGUAAAAUAGAAAAAGACAAGAGAGGAAGAAGACAAAUCAAAGAAUCUGGUACGUUGUCAGCGAAGCAAAACAAAAUAACUUUAUUAAAUAAAAUAACUCAUCACCAUAUGCAACCUUCUAAUUAUGGCGACUCUCGGCUUUAUUAACCAAAUAAUCCCGACCUAUCUAUUUAUAACUAAUUACAUAAAAUCCUACUCAGAUUCUAUUUCAUCUUAACCAUAAUCUAAAUAACCGAAUAUAUCUUAACCAUAACCGAAUAUAAUAAUAGAUAAUAUCAAAUAAUCUAAUCAUAAUCUAAUUAGCAUUAUCUCUAACACUCCCCCAUAAUGUUAAUGUCCUUCACACCGAUCUUCUCUCGGCAAAAUAUGAAUUUCUUCAAUGUUAGCGACUUUAUGAAAAUAUCCGCCAUCUGCUCCUCGGUUGCGUAGUGUAUCAACUUGAAUCCUUCUCGGACUUUUUCGAUCAUCAACUGAACCUGUCCAAUCACUAUUAAAACAACCAAAAUAAAAAUCAUUAGGGUUAGUAUACCACAACCGGUGGUCUCUUGUUCCUUUCAAAUAUCUCAAUAUCCUUUUCGCCUUAUAUAUCCACUUAAAUCCAAUAACUUCUUUAUCUAUAGGCGAUUCAACAAACUCGUAGAUAUUAUUUUUCCUUAACGCCGUAUUUUCUUUAUUCGUAGCCUUACACCAAUCAUUAGAUUUUGCCGCCUCCUCAAAAUUUUGAGAUUCUCCACAUUGUGAAUACAUGCACUGUUCGUAUAUUUCACUAUGUGAUCUUACUUUUCUUGGCGUCGUCUCUGGAGAAGUUUCUGGUGAAAUUCGCGGUGAAGCUUGUGGUGUUGUUUCUGUACUUGUCGUAUUUUCACCAUUGUUUCUAUUUUCAGUUGCAGUUUCAUUUUCGAAUAUCAGAAGUGGAUUAUCCUGCACUUUUGCGCUCCAAUCCCAAACUUUUUGUUCAUCAAAUAUAGCAUCACGACUUAUAAUUAAAGAGUUAGUAGCAGGAUUAUAAAAUCAAUAGGCUUUACUUCUUUCGCUAUAUCCAACAAAAAUACACUUCUGACUAUUAUCAUCCAAUUUUUGCCUAUUCUGUGAUGGGGUAUGAACGAAAGAAACCGAUCCAAAAAUUUUAAAGUGUUUUACCUUCGGUUUCCAGCCGGUCCAUGCUUCAUAAGGUGUAAUAUUCUCCAGCGCUAAAGCUGGACUUCUAUUGAGAAUGUAUGCUGCAGUAGAUACCGCUUCUGCCCAAAAAUUAUUUGGGAGAUUUUUCGCUUUCAACAUGCUUUUUGCCAUCUUGACUAAACUUUGAUUUUUACGCUCUGCAACACCGUUCUGCUGAGGCGUGUAACUGGUUGACAACUGCUUGUGGAUACCAUUAGCGUUACAAAAAUUUUCAAACUUGUUAGAAAUAAAUUCUCCCCCUCGAUCUGUACGGAGGGUCCUAAUAUAAUAACCGGAUUCAUUCUCAACCAAAUUUUUAAAUUUCUGAAAAACAUCAAAAGCCUCGGAUUUAUUUUUGAUAAAAUAAACCCAAGUUAUCCGGCUAUAAUCAUCCACGAAAACUACAAAAUAGUAAUUGUUGCUAGCGACGGUGUCUGCAUUGGUCCACAUACAUCUGCAUGUAUCAAUUCUAAUGGUUCUUUGGCUCUCCAAUUGCUCUUUCUCGGAAAAGAGUCCCUGUGAUGCUUUUCUAGCACACAACUUUCACAUACAGAACCAUUAUUAUGUACCAAAGGCAAACCAUCAACCAUAUUCUUUUUAUGUAAUAGAUCAAGUCCCUUAAAACUCAAGUGACCAUAUCGAUAGUGCCAUAACCAAUUAUCAUCUAGCACUACUUUCAUUGCAACAUGAAUAGAAAAAAACUUUAUUUUCUGUCAUCGGAACUUCCAAAAGCAAAUUCUUUUUAUCUUUAUCUCCAUAAAUUGUGCACUUAGAAUCUUCAAAAAUAAGCGAAUGACCUUCCUUCAAAAAUUGACCCAACUAAAAAGAUUGGAAUUCAAUCCUGGAACAUAUAAAACAUUAUUUAUUUUUUGCAUUCCAGAAAUAUUUACCGCAAUUGUACCUCUUCCAUGCACGUCAUGGACAUAGCUGUCACCCAUUGUCACGCGGCCUUUAACUGAUUUGUCCAAAUUAAUAAAAUUUUCUUCUUUUCCUGUCAUGUGACUGCUACAACCACUAUCGACAUACCAAAUAUUGUUAGCAGUUGUUUCUAAUGAACGACAUGUAAAAAGUACAUUAUCGUUUUCAUUCUUUUCAUAAACAAAAUUCGCAUUCUAUUGUUUCAAUCGACAAAAGCGCUCAAUAUGGCCAAAUUUUUUACAAUAAUAACAUUGAAUAUUUUUACGAUUACGGGAUUGAUCGUUACCUCUGUAGGUUCUCUGAUUUUGAUUACCCGAUCUUUCAUCGUUUCUGUUGUUGAAAUCACCUGAUCUACCUCCGCGACCUCUGCCCUUGCCACGACCACGGCCUCUACCAUAGCCACCGUAUGCUGAAGCUUGAUAAUUAGAAGAAUUGGCACCAUCUUUUUCAUCGCUUUUCGAUUCACUUUGAAAAGCAUGCUCGGAAAAAUUUUCAGUUCUAUCUUUUCGUUCUUCGUGUGCUAAAAGAGAACCAAGAAGUUCGCUACAAGAUAAUUUAGAUAAAUCUUUUGCCUCUUCUAUAGGAGAAACAAUAUCACCAUAUUUUUUCGUUAGACUUCUUAAAAUUUUUUCGACUACUGUUUGAUCAGUAAUCUGUUCACCAUAUGUACGCAUCAAGAUAACUAAUUCCAUAACUUUAGAAUAAAAGGUAUGAAUGUUUUCAUUUUCUUGCAUAAAAGAAGCUUCAAAUCUUCUUUUUAAAGUUUGAAUCUUAACUCUGAGUACCUUUUCGUUACCUUAGUAUUCCUUCUGUAAUAUAUCCCAUGCUUCCUUCGAUUUAGUAGCACCGGCAAUGUGGGAAAAUAUAGAAUCGUCAACUGAUUGCUGAAUAAAGAAAAGCGCCUUAGCAUCUUUUUUCAGAUUCUCUCCGGUUGUUUCCUUGCAUCCUUUUUCGACAAAAUCCCAUAAAUCUUGGGAUCGCAGCAACGUCCGCAUCUUCACGCACCAAAAAUCAUAAUUGUCCCCCUUGAAUAUCGGAAAUCCUUGUGCAACUCCGUUAGCGCUGUUAAACGCCAUCGACACCUUCUCCUCUCGAAAUCCAGGCUCUGAUACCACUUGUUACGGUGAUAGGCCACCAAGAAAUACGUUCUAUAUACUUGUUAUGGUAUAUAGAGAUCCCCACAAAAAGUAAAAUAGAAAAAGACAAGAGAGGAGGAAGACAAAUCAAAGAAUCUGGUACGUUGUUAUGGACGCAAAACAAAAUAACUUUAUUAAAUAAAAUAACUCAUCACCAUAUGCAACCUUUGACGAACGCUAAUUAAUUAUGGCGACUCCCGGCUUUAUUAACCAAAUAAUCCCGACCUAUCUAUUUAUAACUAAUUACAUAGAAUCCUACUCUGAUUCUAUUUCAUCUUAAUCAUAAUCUAAAUAACCGAAUAUAUCUUAACCAUAACCGAAUAUAAUAAUAGAUAAUAUCAAAUAAUCUAAUCAUAAUCUAAUUAGCAUUAUCUCUAACAAAACAUUCAC